GCAAGUCGAGGGGUAACAGGAAGUGCUUGCACUUUGCUGACGACCGGCGCACGGGUGCGUAACGCGUAUACAAUCUACCUUUUACAGGGGGAUAGCCUUUAGAAAUGAAGAUUAAUACCCCAUGGUAUAUAUAGAUGGCAUCAUUUAUAUAUUAAAGAUUUAUUGGUAAGAGAUGAGUAUGCGUUCUAUUAGCUAGAUGGUGUGGUAACGGCACACCAUGGCAACGAUAGAUAGGGGCCCUGAGAGGGGGAUC
rnacentral:rRNA from 1 species